rnacentral:rRNA from 1 species
CGGGUGAGUACAACAUAGGAAAUCUGCCUUAGGGUGGGGGACAACAGAGGGAAACUUUUGCUAAUACCCCAUAUGAGCUUGGUUGAAAUACCAAUCUUGAAAGUUCCGGCGCCCUAAGAUGAGCCUGUGCCUGAUUAGCUAGUUGGUGGUGUAAUGGACUACCAAGGCAACGAUCAGUAGCUGGUUUGAGAGGAUGAUCAGCCACAAUGGGACUGAGACACGGCCCAUACUCCUACGGGAGGCAGCAG